rnacentral:rRNA from 1 species
GUGCCAGCCGCCGCGGUAAUACGGAGGGUGCAAGCGUUAAUCGGAAUUACUGGGCGUAAAGCGCGCGUAGGCGGCCAAGUAAGCCGGUUGUGAAAGCCCCGGGCUCAACCUGGGAAUGGCAUCCGGAACUGUUUGGCUAGAGUGCAGGAGAGGAAGGUAGAAUUCCCGGUGUAGCGGUGAAAUGCGUAGAGAUCGGGAGGAAUACCAGUGGCGAAGGCGGCCUUCUGGACUGACACUGACGCUGAGGUGCGAAAGCGUGGGUAGCAAACAGGAUUAGAUACCCUAGUAGUCC